GAGAGAAGUAGUGCCCGUACCGCAAACCGACACAGGUAGAUGAGGAGAGAAUCCUAAGGCCGACGGAAGAAUUGCAGUUAAGGAACUAGGCAAAUUGACCCCGUAACUUCGGGAGAAGGGGUGCCUACGAAAGUAGGCCGCAGAGAAUAGGCACAAGCAACUGUUUAACAAAAACACAGGUCUCUGCUAAAGCGUAAGCUGAUGUAUAGGGGCUGACGCCUGCCCGGUGCUGGAAGGUUAAGGGGAACACUUAGCGCAAGCGAAGGUGUGAACUUAAGCCCCAGUAAACGGCGGCCGUAACUAUAACGGUCCUAAGGUAGCGAAAUUCCUUGUCAGGUAAGUUCUGACCCGCACGAAUGGCGUAAUGACUUGUGCACUGUCUCAACUGCAAAUCCGGCGAAGUUGUAGUGCGAGUGAAGAUGCUCGCUACCCGCGAUUGGACGGAAAGACCCCGUAGAGCUUUACUGUAGCUUAGCAUUGAAUUUCGGUAUUGUCUGUACAGGAUAGGUGGGAGACUGGGAAAUCAGGGCGUCAGCCUUGAUGGAGUCGUUGUUGGGAUACCACCCUGAUAGUAUUGAAAUUCUAACUGGAUGCCAUGAAACUGGUGACAGGACAUUGUUAGGUGGGCAGUUUGACUGGGGCGGUCGCCUCCUAAAAUGUAACGGAGGCGCCCAAAGGUUCCCUCAGAACGGUCGGAAAUCGUUCGAAGAGUGUAAAGGCAGAAGGGAGCCUGACUGCGAGACCUACAAGUCGAGCAGGGACGAAAGUCGGGCUUAGUGAUCCGGUGGUACCUCGUGGGAGGGCCAUCGCUCAACGGAUAAAAGCUACCUCGGGGAUAACAGGCUGAUCUCCCCCAAGAGUUCACAUCGACGGGGAGGUUUGGCACCUCGAUGUCGGCUCAUCGCAUCCUGG
rnacentral:rRNA from 1 species